rnacentral:rRNA from 1 species
AGUGAACGCUGGCGGUAGGCCUAACACAUGCAAGUCGAACGGCAGCACAGUAAUAGCUUGCUCUUACGGGUGGCGAGUGGCGGACGGGUGAGGAAUACAUCGGAAUCUACUUUUUCGUGGGGGAUAACGUAGGGAAACUUAUGCUAAUACCGCAUACGACCUACGGGUGAAAGCAGGGGAUCUUCGGACCUUGCGCGAUUGAAUGAGGCGAUGUCGGAUUAGCUAGUUGGCGGGGUAAAGGCCCACCAAGGCGACGAUCCGUAGCUGGUCUGAGAGGAUGAUCCGCCACACUGGAACUGAGACACGGUCCAGACUCCUACGGGAGGCAGCAGUGGGGAAUAUUGGACAAUGGGCGCAAGCCUGAUCCAGCCAUACCGCGUGGGUGAAGAAGGCCUUCGGGUUGUAAAGCCCCUUUGUUGGGAAAGAAAAGCAGCAGGUUAAUACCCCGCUGUUCUGACGGUACCCAAAGAAUAAGCACCGGCUAACUUCGUG